ACACUGGACAGUGGAUCACUCUGCUUGUCUGCUGAUGAAGAGCAUGGCCAGCUGCCAGAACUGAUAUGAAUUGCAGGUCUUGGUGAAUAUUGACACCUUGAAUGCAGAUAGCAGACACUUG